UGGGGAAUUUUGGACAAUGGGCGAAAGCCUGAUCCAGCAAUGCCGCGUGUGUGAAGAAGGCCUUCGGGUUGUAAAGCACUUUUGUCCGGAAAGAAAUCCUUGGCUCUAAUACAGUCGGGGGAUGACGGUACCGGAAGAAUAAGCACCGGCUAACUACGUGCCAGCAGCCGCGGUAAUACGUAGGGUGCAAGCGUUAAUCGGAAUUACUGGGCGUAAAGCGUGCGCAGGCGGUUUGCUAAGACCGAUGUGAAAUCCCCGGGCUCAACCUGGGAACUGCAUUGGUGACUGGCAGGCUAGAGUAUGGCAGAGGGGGGUAGAAUUCCACGUGUGGCAGUGAAAUGCGUAGAGAUGUGGAGGAAUACCGAUGGCGAAGGCAGCCCCCUGGGCCAAUACUGACGCUCAUGCACGAAAGCGUGGGGAGCAAACAGGAUUAGAUACCCUGGUAGUCCACGCCCUAAACGAUGUCAACUAGUUGUUGGGGAUUCAUUCCUUAGUAACGUAGCUAACGCGUGAAGUUGACCGCCUGGGGAGUACGGUCGCAAGAUUAAAACUCAAAUGAAUUGACGGGGUCAUAGCUGUUUCCU
rnacentral:rRNA from 1 species